CUACGGGACGCAGCAGUGAGGAAUAUUGCACAAUGGGGGAAACCCUGAUGCAGCAACGCCGCGUGGAGGAUGACGCAUUUCGGUGUGUAAACUCCUUUUAUCAGAGAAGAAAAUGACGGUAUCUGAUGAAUAAGCUCCAGCUAACUCCGUGCCAGCAGCCGCGGUAAUACGGAGGGAGCAAGCGUUAUUCGGAAUCACUGGGCGUAAAGGACGCGUAGGCGGGUUUUUAAGUCAGGUGUGAAAUCCUAUGGCUCAACCAUAGAACUGCACUUGAAACUGGGGACCUAGAGUAUGGAAGGGGCAGGUGGAAUUAGUGGUGUAGGGGUAAAAUCCGUAGAUAUCACUAGGAAUACCAAAAGCGAAGGCGACCUGCUGGGACAUUACUGACGCUGAGGCGUGAAAGCGUGGGGAGCAAACAGGAUUAGAUACCCUGGUAGUC
rnacentral:rRNA from 1 species